GAGUGAAAUGAUGAGAAGUAUUCCCUAUUUGGUUUGAUUGCCAGAAUGAUGGAAUUCUUUGUUAUUAGCUCUAUCUGAUCAAUC
rnacentral:snoRNA from 1 species